AUUGAACGCUGGCGGCAGGCCUAACACAUGCAAGUCGAACGGUAACAGGAAGAUGCUUGCUUCUUUGCUGACGAGUGGCGGACGUGUGAGUAAUGUCUGGGAAACUGCCUGAUGGAGGGGGAUACCUACUGGAAACGGUAGCUAAUACCGCAUAACGUCGCAAGACCAAAGAGCGGGACCUUCGGGCCUCUUGCCAUCGGAUGUGCCCAGAUGGGAUUAGCUAGUAGGUGGGGUAACGGCUCACCUAGGCGACGAUCCCUAGCUGGUCUGAGAGGAUGACCAGCCACACUGGAACUGAGACACGGUCCAGACUCCUACGGGAGGCAGCAGUGGGGAAUAUUGCACAAUGGGCGCAAGCCUGAUGCAGCCAUGCCGCGUGUAUGAAGAAGGCCUUCGGGUUGUAAAGUACUUUCAGCGGGGAGGAAGGGAGUAAAGUUAAUACCUUUGCUCAUUGACGUUACCCGCAGAAGAAGCACCGGCUAACUCCGUG
rnacentral:rRNA from 1 species